UUUUCCACCUUCUACUCCAGGUCUUGCACCUGCUACUCCAAAUCUAACUGGACUGGUACUUGAACAAAAAGGACAAGGAUAUGCAGAGACCAACGAGACGCACAACCAAACCAAGAAAGGCCCCUGAGGGCGCCUGAGGGGGCUGACCCCCAGCUAUGGCGCAGGUGCCUACUAGUGCCACUCCAGUGCCACCUUGAGGACCCAUAUUUCUGACCAAUUAUAUUAGGCGAUCUGCAUGGAACUUGCACACCUUACUGAACCCAUGCCUAUCUACAAGGGUGCAAAUUUUGAAUGAUAUUGGUCAACAUCAACCUCAGCUAAAGGUGGCUGAACUUUGACCUCCGUUUGUGCAGGCUGCGAUGCUGAAACUUGGCCCAGUUGCAGCACCUUUCACAUGUAUCAGGAUAAUAAAUUUUGAAUGCCCUACAACAACUUUUAAAUUUUCAUAUAGCAAACCC
rnacentral:lncRNA from 1 species